rnacentral:rRNA from 1 species
AACGAACGCUGGCGGCAGGCCUAACACAUGCAAGUCGAACGAGAAGCCACCUUCGGGUGGUGGAAAGUGGCAGACGGGUGAGUAUCGCGUGGGAACGUGCCUUUCGGCUCGGGACAACCCAGGGAAACUUGGGCAAAUACCGGAUACGCCCUUCGGGGGAAAGAUUCAUUGCCGAAAGAUCGGCCCGCGUCGGAUUAGCUAGUUGGUAGGGUAAUGGCCUACCAAGGCGACGAUCCGUAGCUGGUCUGAGAGGAUGACCAGCCACACUGGGACUGAGACACGGCCCAGACUCCUACGGGAGGCAGCAGUGGGGAAUCUUAGACAAUGGGGGGAAACCCUGAUCUAGCCAUGCCGCGUGAUCGAUGAAGGCCUUAGGGUUGUAAAGAUCUUUCAGUUGGGAAGAUAAUGACGGUACCAACAGAAGAAGCCCCGGCUAACUCCGUGCCAGCAGCCGCCGUAAGAC